AAAGAAGCAAGAGAAGGGCAGACGGUGGAUGCCUUGGCUUCGGGAGGCGAUGAAGGACGUGACAAGCUGCGAUAAGCCAGGAGUAGGAGCAAAUAUCCCUUAAUCCCUGGAUUUCCGAAUGGGGCAACCCGGCUGGCUGAAGGCCAGUCACACUACCAUGUAGUGAGCAAACCCUGGGAACUGAAACAUCUAAGUACCAGGAGGAAGAGAAAACAAAAGUGAUUCCGCAAGUAGUGGCGAGCGAACGCGGAUUAGCCCAAACCAUAUCUGUAGCAAUGCACAUAUGGGGUUGUAGGACUGCGACAUUCGAUAUAAAAUUCAAUUAGAAGCUUUCUGGAAAGUAAUGCCAAAGAGGGUGAUAGCCCCGUAUAAGUACGAUUUUAUAUUGAUAGCAGUAUCCUGAGUAGCGCGGGACACGAGAAAUCCUGUGUGAAUCUGCCGGGACCAUCCGGUAAGGCUAAAUACUCCCCGAAGACCGAUAGUGAACCAGUACCGUGAGGGAAAGGUGAAAAGAACCUCGAACAGAGGAGUGAAAUAGACCCUGAACCCGUCUGCCUACAAGCGGUCGGAGCAGCUUCGUGCUGUGACGGCGUGCCUUUUGCAUAAUGAACCUACGAGUUACUCUUACUAGCAAGGUUAAGCACUUCAGGUGCGCAGCCGAAGCGAAAGCGAGUCUUAACAGGGCGCCAUAGUUAGUAGGAGUAGACGCGAAACCAAGUGAUCUACCCUUGAGCAGGUUGAAGGUUGGGUAACACCAACUGAAGGACCGAACCGGUUGACGUUGAAAAGUCUUCGGAUGACUUGAGGGUAGGGGUGAAAGGCUAAUCAAACUUGGAGAUAGCUCGUACUCCCCGAAAUGCAUUUAGGUGCAGCGUGUGUAUUGAGUUUAUAAGAGGUAGAGCGACUGAUUGGAUGCGAGGGUUUCACCGCCUAUCAAGUCCUGAUAAACUCCGAAUGCUUAUAAAUGCUUACACGCAGUGAGGGCAUGGGUGCUAAGGUCCAUGUCCGAGAGGGAAAGAACCCAGACCAUCAGCUAAGGUCCCCAAAUAUACGCUAAGUUGAAUUAACGAAGUCGAACUGCAGCGACAGCUAGGAUGUUGGCUUGGAAGCAGCCAUUCAUUUAAAGAGUGCGUAACAGCUCACUAGUCGAGCGGUUUGGCAUGGAUAAUAAUCGGGCAUUAAGCGUAUUACCGAAGCUAUGGGAUAUGUAUAUAUCGGUAGGGGAGCAUUCCAGUCGGCGUCGAAGGCGUAAGAUAACUUACUCUGGAGCGUCUGGAAAAGCAAAUGUAGGUAUAAGUAACGAUAAGAGGUGCGAGAAACACCUCCGCCGAAAGACUAAGGAUUCCUGAUCAACGCUAAUCGGAUCAGGGUUAGUCGGGGCCUAAGGUAUAGCCGACAGGCGAAGCCGAUGGAAGAACCGGUUAAUAUUCCGGUACUACUUAUAAGAGUGAUGUGGGGACGGAGUAGUGAAAGUCCUGCGUGCUGACGGAAUAGCACGUUGAAGGGUGUAGACGUUGAUAAAAGUAGGCAAAUCCGCUUUUAGAGUCGAACCUGAUAGUACCGAGAGUACUUGUACAAUCGGAUAUGGAUGUAAUCAGACUCCCAAGAAAAUCCGCUAAACUUAAUCUUAUGAGUACCCGUACCAUAAACCGACACAGGUGGUCGCGUAGAGAAUACUAAGGCGCUCGAGUGAUUCACAGCUAAGGAAUUAGGCAAAAUAGUCCCGUAACUUAGGGAGAAGGGACGCCUACCCAUGUUGAGUGGGAGGCCGCAGAGAAAUGGAGAAGGCGACUGUUUAUCAAAAACAUAGGGCUUUGCAAAUUCGUAAGAAGAAGUAUAAGGCCUGACACCUGCCCGGUGCUGGAAGGUUAAGAGGAGAUGUUAGAGGUAACUCGAAGCAUUGAAUUGAAGCCCCAGUAAACGGCGGCCGUAACUAUAACGGUCCUAAGGUAGCGAAAUUCCUUGUCGGGUAAGUUCCGACCUGCACGAAUGGUGUAACGAUCUUCUCACUGUCUCAGCUGUGAGCUCGGUGAAAUUGUAGUAUCGGUGAAGAUGCCGAUUACCCGCAAUGGGACGAAAAGACCCCGUGAACCUUUACUGCAACUUUACAUUGUAUCUGGGCAACAGAUGUGUAGGAUAGGCCGGAGGCUUUGAAGCGGGCACGCCAGUGUUCGUGGAGCCAUCCUUGAAAUACGGCCCUUCUGUUGUUUGGGUCCUAACUCGCGGAUGCGAGGACACUGUAUGGUGGGUAGUUUGACUGGGGUGGUCGCCUCCAAAAGUGUAACGGAGGCUUCCAAAGGUGCGCUCAGGCCGAUUGGUAACCGGUCGUAGAGUAUAAUGGUAUAAGCGCGCUUGACUGAGAGACCAACAAGUCGAUCAGGUAGGAAACUAGGGCAUAGUGAUCCGGUGGUUCCGUAUGGAAGGGCCAUCGCUCAAAGGAUAAAAGGUACUCCGGGGAUAACAGGCUGAUCAUUCCCAAGAGCUCAUAUCGACGGAAUGGUUUGGCACCUCGAUGUCGGCUCGUCACAUCCUGGGGCUGGAGAAGGUCCCAAGGGUUGGGCUGUUCGCCCAUUAAAGUGGCACGCGAGCUGGGUUCAGAACGUCGUGAGACAGUUCGGUCUCUAUCUAUUGUGGGCGUAGGAUAUUUGCGGAGGUCUGACACUAGUACGAGAGGACCGUGUUGGACGAACCUCUGGUCGACGGGUUGUUUCGCCAGGAGCAUUGCCCGGUAGCCACGUUCGGUUUGGAUAAGUGCUGAAAGCAUCUAAGCACGAAGCCAUCUUCAAGAUAAGAUAUCCAUGAGGGUCGUUGUAGAUGACAACGUUGAUAGGUUACAGGUGUACAACAGAGAUGUAGAGCCGAGUAAUACUAAUCGCCCGAAAUGCUUUUUUAG
rnacentral:rRNA from 1 species